GAUGAACGCUGGCGGCGUGCCUAAUACAUGCAAGUCGAGCGAACGGACGAGGAGCUUGCUCUUCUGACGUUAGCGGCGGACGGGUGAGUAACACGUGGAUAACCUACCUAUAAGACUGGGAUAACUUCGGGAAACCGGAGCUAAUACCGGAUAAUAUUUUGAACCGCAUGGUUCAAUAGUGAAAGACGGUUUUGCUGUCACUUAUAGAUGGAUCCGCGCUGCAUUAGCUAGUUGGUAAGGUAACGGCUUACCAAGGCGACGAUGCGUAGCCGACCUGAGAGGGUGAUCGGCCACACUGGAACUGAGACACGGUCCAGACUCCUACGGGAGGCAGCAGUAGGGAAUCUUCCGCAAUGGGCGAAAGCCUGACGGAGCAACGCCGCGUGAGUGAUGAAGGUCUUCGGAUCGUAAAACUCUGUUAUUAGGGAAGAACAAAUGUGUAAGUAACUAUGCACGUCUUGACGGUACCUAAUCAGAAAGCCACGGCUAACUACGUG
rnacentral:rRNA from 1 species